UUAAUGAAAUAUCCCACUCCCUACCCGGUAUCUUAUUCGGCCUCUAUACAACCUUGUUAUUUACGAAGUUUUUGGAACAGAUUCCUGUUGGAACGUUCCACAUUAUACCCACCCUAGCCAGCCUGAGUUGUUAGCUAACGGUAGCUAGUUAACAUAUCUCUGUUAAAAUUCUUUGUUACAUCUAGGCCUUGUAAAAAUAUAACAAUACACUGUACAAAACGAUUUAUUCACGGACUUGUUAAAGCUACUGUAGCGUAAUAGCUAAAGUUAGCUAGCUAACUAGUAGUUGUGGUCUGUCGCGCAACAAGUUGCCUCAGCGCUUAGUCGCCUUUUUUUUUAACCGUUGUUUAGUGACUGGUUUCAAUAUACUUUACUUUCGUAACUCAACAAAGUAACGUUGUUGCUAUAUUGCAGGCAAACCUUUCUCUGGAUGCCUCAAUGACCGUAUAUGAAGUCACGUAUAGUAGUAGACGACUAGCUCUGGACCAUGCGUUGGAUGUACGUACAGCUUGCAGUGCAUAUCCGUUGCAUGUGCGUGGACCAGGUUGAUAACACAUUUGGCCAAUCUUUUCUAACAGACUCUCUUGCCUGAGAACUAUGACCACACUUUGUACUCAUACCAACCACUGGGAGAAACACAGUUCAGAUCCUCCCUGAAGUUGAAACUGCUCUGAGGAAGAGGUCCACAAGUGGUUGAAGGACUUCCAGAGAACAUCAGACUUGAUUUGGAGGAAGUCAAAGACCUAUCCCAAUGCUGACAGGAUUAACAAGUAUAGAAUCUUCUACAGGUGGACCUAAGAUGCCAGCAUAAUACAAGGUCCAGUUCAGCCAGAAGUACCAACAACACAUGUUAAUGGUGCAAUAAUGUACCUCAUCUUGAAGAUAUCCACACAGAGAAUCAAGGUCCCAGAUACCUCUUUCGCGUCCGUCUACGGAACAACCACAACCACAGUCUGACAAGUGCUGAGGGACUGAAGAGGAGAGACGUCAACGGACACCGUUGAGAAAUUGACAAACGCUGUUUGCUGUAGUUGUGUUCCUCAUUUGUCCAUUACAGAUUGUACCGCAAGCUUUUCAAAGAAGCAUGUGUUGCAUCGUAUGUGGAGAAGAAGAUUGAUGACUCUAACGAGCGUCUGGAUAACUGCAAUGAAGAAGAAUGUUCACCAGAAAUGCUAUGUUUUCGGACCGUGGCAAUGCGUCUGAGGACACCGUUGAAAUUGAGCGUGCUCCCGUUUCUGAUAACGGCUCAGCUACAUCUGGAAAACCAGCUUAGGGGGUGACGUUCGAGGAAGAGUGGAUGGAGAUCUUUGAAGACCUCAAGAAGAAGACGAGGGAGGAUCCUGUGAGUUUCAAGAAGAUGAGGAACCAGCUUCAAGAAGAUGAAAACAGACGGUGAACUCAUAGCCGCAAUAUCAAACUUUGGCACAACCAACCCUGGACCAACAGCAAAGUUUCACCAGGGACAGGCACGCCCUGCGAAGAGCUCUGUAGGAGAGCAUGGACAUGGCACAUGCAGCUGGAAGAGGAAGGCACCCCGUUGAAUGUCUCAGUGUGUGGAAUAACACAUGGACAUUGGGAGACAUUGGGACAUUUUGUUUUACAUUAAUUCAAUGUAAGACGUUUCUGCAAUUUCAUAUUUUUGAAAUUGAUUCCAUGUUGAAGGACCAUCGGAUUUUAAAAAGCUGUUCUGCUAACCCAGUUGUAGGCCUAUACUAUCACUGAACCAAAGCAGUAGUUGUCUUGACUUAAAUUUAAAAAGCCUUUUUUAAUAUAUGUAUAUGUGUGUGUAUUUAUAUAUUAAAUAUAUCAAAUUGUAUUGGUCACAUACACAUGGUUAGCAGAUGUUAAUGCGAGUGUAGCGAAAUGCUUGUGCAUAUACUGGUACAUGUUGUGCAUCAAGUUGUGUCUUUUUUAUGUUGAACAAAUGCAAUACUACCAUUCUAAUGAUGGGUUGUAAGACACAUAAUGAAGUCUUUAUUUGUACAUAAAAAAUAUCCUGAGGGGAACCUGCAAAAAAAAUAAGUAAUUUUUUUAUUACAUUGCAUAAGUGAUUGAUAUGAAAUAAAACAUGUUAUAAUUAAGAUUUUUUAAUA